GAUUGUUGGAGACUUGGAGUUCGAUUCGCAGGAAUGUUUAAAGAUUUGAAGGAAAUACUAAAUCUUAGAACCCAUUCAUCUGAAGAUUAGUGAUCAUCAUAAGACCAAACGUGAUUCAUAUUUGAAUCAGGGAGUUGAAAAGACCGGGGCUGAACUGUUGUAUUAAGGUGAUUUACAACUCAUUCGGAAUUGCUUUGUAUCAUUGACUGAAUGCAUAUAUGUUGUUUGGUGUUCUU
rnacentral:lncRNA from 1 species